rnacentral:rRNA from 1 species
GACGAACGCUGGCGGCGUGCUUAACACAUGCAAGUCGAACGGUGAUCUUGAGAGCUUGCUCUUGGGUGAUCAGUGGCGAACGGGUGAGUAACACGUGAGGAACCUGCCCCAGACUCUGGAAUAACCCCGGGAAACCGGAGCUAAUACCGGAUACGACGUAGAGCUGCAUGGCUACUGCGUGGAAAGUUUUUCGGUCUGGGAUGGCCUCGCGGCCUAUCAGCUUGUUGGUGAGGUAGUGGCUCACCAAGGCGACGACGGGUAGCCGGCCUGAGAGGGCGACCGGCCACACUGGGACUGAGACACGGCCCAGACUCCUACGGGAGGCAGCAGUGGGGAAUAUUGCACAAUGGGCGAAAGCCUGAUGCAGCGACGCCGCGUGAGGGAUGACGGCCUUCGGGUUGUAAACCUCUUUCAGCAGGGAAGAAGCGAAAGUGACGGUACCUGCAGAAGAAGCACCGGCUAACUACGUGCCAGCCGCCGCGGUAAAAC